UACAGAGGUGCCGAGCGUUAGGCGGAAUCACUGGGCUUAAAGCGUGUGUAGGCGGACUUCUAAGUCCCUUGUGAAAUCCCACGGCUCACCCGUGGAACUGCUGGGUAUACUGGUCGUCUUGAGCCACCUAGGGGCGAGCGGAACAAAUGGUGGAGCGGUGAAAUGCGUAGAUAUCAGUUGGAACGCCAACGGUGAAAACAGCUCGCUGGGGGUGUGCUGACGCUGAGACACGAAAGCCAGGGUAGCGAACGGG
rnacentral:rRNA from 1 species